UGAUGAACAGGAGAUGAAAUGACAAUCUCUCUCUCUCUCUCUCUGAGCCCCUUUCACCGCCCGUGCACCAGGAUUACAAACUGGCGGUUGGCUGCCGUUGCCAAGAGGGAAGCUCUGGAGUCCAGGUCAUGUAGAAGAGCAGAUUUCGUAUGAAGAUGGGAUUGUUGGUGUUUAUGCGUAACCUGCUACUAGCCCUUUGUCUCUUUCUGGUACUUGGAUUUCUUUAUUACUCUGCAUGGAAGCUGCACCUUCUCAGAUGGGAGGACACAAAUUCAGUGGUUCUUUCCUUUGACUCCGUUGGACGUACAGUAGGCUCAGGAAGGAGAGAGAGAAAAACUGUGACUCUUGUUCUUCCGCCGUCCAUCCCAUCACACCUUGCUGUGAACCCAGGAACUGGCAGUGCCCAGAAAGAACCUAUAGCUGCACCAGGCCCAGCCAUUCCGAAAUAUGACAAACUGGGCUUUCUUCUGAAGCUGGACUCAAAACUGCCUCCAGAACUAGCAUCAAAGUAUGCAAAUUUCUCUGAGGGAGUUUGCAAACCUGGGUAUGCAUCAGCGCUCAUGACUUCCAUCUUCCCAAAGUUCUCCAAGCCAGCACCAAUGUUCUUGGAUGAUUCCUUCAAAAGGUGGGCACGGAUCAGAGACUUUGUACCUCCCUUUGGAAUUAAAGGACAAGAUAAUCUGAUCAAAGCCAUCCUGUCAGCAACCAAAGAGUAUCGCCUCACUCCAGCCCUUGACAGUCUCAGCUGCCGGCGAUGUAUCAUUGUGGGAAAUGGAGGAGUGCUUGCAAAUAAGUCAUUGGGGCUGAAAAUUGAUGACUACGAUGUUGUGGUCAGGCUGAACUCUGCUCCAGUGAAGGGCUUUGAGAAGGAUGUGGGAGGCAAGACAACGCUGCGGAUCACGUACCCUGAAGGGGCCAUCCAGAAACUGGAGCAGUAUGAGAAGGACUCCUUCUUUGUUCUGGCCGGAUUCAAGUGGCAGGAUUUCAAGUGGCUCAAAUACAUUGUUUACAAGGAGAAAGUGAGUGCAUCUGAUGGAUUUUGGAAGUCAGUGGCUACCCGUGUCCCAAGAGAACCUCAUGAGAUCCGCAUCCUGAAUCCGUACUUCAUCCAGGAGGCAGCUUUCAGCUUCAUUGGCCUGCCUUUCAACAACGGCCUGAUGGGCAGAGGGAACAUCCCCACCUUGGGAAGUGUCGCAAUCACCAUGGCGCUGCACAACUGUGAUGAGGUAGCAGUAGCUGGAUUUGGCUAUGACAUGAAUUCACCAAAUGCACCACUCCAUUACUACGAGAGCAUCAAGAUGUCUGCCAUAAAGGAGUCCUGGACGCACAACAUCCAGCGAGAGAAGGAGUUCCUGCGGAAGCUGGUGAAAGCCCGAGUCAUCACUGACCUCACCAGUGGAAUCUGAGUUGUCCCAGACCCCGCGUCGGAGGGAGGCGAGAGACGCACGCUACAGCUAAGGGAGCAGGCAGUGGGAGAGCCACACAGGAAUCCCAACUCAAAGGAAACACAAGAAAUGCACAGGUGCUCUGGGAGAGCCUUCCCGGAUCUCCAGUCUGCACCAGUGCUGCACCUGCUGCAUCCCUCAUGGGGCUGGCAGGGGAGAGCUGGGAGUGGGGCUGAGGGCGGUUAUUGACCUCAGCUCUGCAGAUAGAACUUUUGUGUCUAGAAUUAGUUGGGAAAGCCUGAGGAGAGACAGGAAGACAGGUCAGUGACCCAAAGCAGAGAGUGCCAAACAGGAGUGGUGCUGGCUGGGGCAGCACCGCCUGAAUGUACCAAGUAGUAUUUUUUAAAAGAAACUUUGUUGAAUCAUGCUAAUAAUAUCGCAGUACAAAGCGAAGACUGGCUUGUGCCCACCUCCAGCAGAAGCCCGGCCUCCCCACACGCGGUCUGCAGCUCCUGGCCUUAGUCCUUGCCCUGGGAAAACAGCUCCGUCCGUGACUUUACUCCUGUUGGUGCUGCUGGAAUGUAAAAGGACAAUGGCCUUCCGCUGGUCUCCACACAGGGCUGCUGGCGGGAGCUGAGCAUGGCGUUUUUCUGCACCUCCCUGCAUAGACGCUGCAGCUGCCAUUUAUCCAGCUGCAUUUUCCACAGCUGUUUGCUCCACCCGGGCUCUGCCUUGACCCUGAGCUGGAGCCAGGAGCCAGCUUGUGUCCUGGAGGAGUGGCAGACAGGCCCCUGGCGCCGAGGGGCGUUCGGCCCUCGGUCUGAGCCGGCCGGGCCCCGCGCCGUGGGCAGGCGGAUCUCUGUUCAGCGGUACCAGGGUUUCUCAACAGCGUCAGACUUUAUUUGUAUGUGGGGAGAGGGAUAAUUUAUUUUCUGAGUGAGGUCAGAGGUCAUGUUGCAAUCCAAGCUUCACAGUGUUCAGCAGCAGAUAGCUACAACCGUGUUCAUUUUACGUCCCCCACCUGGUCUUGUUCCCUGCUAACGACUCCUUGACGAUGGACCCCCCGGCGAGGGGCAGGGGAGUGACCUGACUGGAAACCUUCACUUCUCGUCCCCUUCCCGGGCAUUUCGCUUUCUUCAUUUCCUGGCUGCUCCCACGCGGCUGGGCCGCUGCUGCUCCAUUGCUGUUGUCAGCGGGUCAGUGCUGCACUGACAUCUCUAGCUAAGGACAUGCCAAUGCCUACAGAGGGAGACUCAAGUCCUGGGAAUCCCACAGACCUGAGGAUGGACAUCCCACUCGGGACACACUUUGAGACGCCUGCAUGUCUCCGAGACCGUCCACUGAAUCCACAUGCUCAGUCAGCAGAAUGGGCCUGGAUGGAUGGUCUGUCUGACUCUGUCCCCCUCAGAUGCAGAAAACGCCUGGGUCUGGGGCUGCCUUCAGUUCGGACUCUUCUUUGGACGUCCUCAGGCACUCAGCAAUAGUGAUGGGCUUCAGUGCUGCUACCUGUUGGCGUAUGUAACUGCCUCAUAUGUAAGGCAGAUGUCCAGACUAAGUGACUUUGGCAUCGGUUAGCAUUCAGGAGGGAAAUUAGUUGGGGAAUCGAUGGAUGAGGUGGUGUCUGACUCCUUAGAUAAAGAAAGAAUGACUCUGGGUCCUGCCCAGCCCCACAGUGGGUAAUAAAAGUUCCUGUUCCAAACCCAAGCAGUCUUGUUAAGCUUCCAAACCAGCAGUUUAGCAGUCAAAACGAUUCCAGCUCCUCCAGGUGAAGGUGGUCUAGAACCAGAGGUGGCCGCUCCAGGGGGUAACACAUCCACUUGACUGUCUGGUCCUCCUUGACACCCAGAGUCUCCUCCAGCUUGCAGAGUGUUGGCCUCAAACCCCCUACAACAAGUGGGUUCUGGAGAUUGUCCAGAGAGAAUGUGCUCGGGAUCUCCUCAGUUCUCCUCCCGGAUGUCUCUGCUUAAUGAGAUCCCGAGGAUGCUGAGGUUCAAGACAGAAACGUUAAAGCCCCCCCUGGCAGCUAUCAACAAAGGAGACGGUCUGUUGUCAACCGGCAGCCCAUUCGUCCAUCUCCAUCCAUAAGUCUCACCGAGUGCUCUCCAUUUCCCCCUCUGGAUCCCAGCACGUCCAGUACAGGUCGUCACUCUCUGGCCUGGCCAUGGACCACAGGGUAACUGCAGAUGUGUACCUGGUCUUGGUAGCGGCAGGCAGGAAGGAAGGGGUCAGCUCUAGCCAUUCCUUGACAACCUGUUGCUAAGAGCACCAGCCAGAGACAAAGUGGCACAAAAGGACAACCUGGAUCCUCAAGCGCCCCAGGUUUUUGUUUCCCUGAACUAGGAAAAGCGCCACCCACCACACAGCAAGAGCUCCCCUCGGCGGCCUGUCCCCUAGGCCAAUACGAAGAUGCCCCUGCUUCCACUCUUCUUUUGUGCACUAAUACAACCAAGUUACGCAUCACACUCAAGCUGCUUUUCGCUACCACUCCUCUACCUGCUCGUUCAAACAACGUGUCCUCAUCCGUUACCCUGUCAGUCCCGCCUGGUCAUACGAGGGGCUGUGUCCCUGUGCCACCUCGUAGGAAUGUGCGCACGUACUUACUUGAGAGCCCUGUGGUUCAUGUACCAACCUCUCCACUCAGGACUGGGCUGACCUGGUGUAUUACUAUCCUGCCAAGAUCUGCUUUGGUCCAUACGCUUAGUUGUGCCCAGGACUCCAGCAAGACCUACGGGGGAAAUCCACACAGCCUCACGGGGGGGUUACCUCUCAAGAGACAGAACAAAUUAACUUCUUUGGACAGGACAGUCAGCAGCCUCCAGGACCCUUCAGACCAGCCCCCAUGUCCCUGCUGGGAUGUUUGUCCCACAUGGACGGUGCAGUGGGCUCAAGAACACAUGAAACCGCUCCACUUCUUUCUGCAGUUCCUGUCUCCUCCCGCCAAGAGAGUCCAACUUCCCAGAGCCCCGUAAUGCAGAAUUCACCUGUAGCCGAGCUGGACAGACCUGUGCUUGCGCUGACGCCAGCCGUGAGGGAUCGGAAGCUCACCUGCAGAUGGUGAAGUCAACACAGGCAGUUUGGACAAUGCGCGGAAUGCAAAUGCAGUAUAAACUGGGUAGAGCUCAGGGCAAUUCGCUAGAGACUAUGCAUGGGCGAACAGCUCCCUGGUCCGGAUCAUGACAGACAAUGGCCAGUGCCGACAAACAAGGUGGGGCGAGGUCCUCAUCCCUGCAGAGGGAAGCCCGUUGGCUGAUGUCCUGGGCAGAACAAGCCCUCCAGGCUUUGUGAGCGCUACGUGUUCAAGGACAGAAAAACACUGUGGCCGAAGGCAGAGUGGAGUCUUAAACCAGAAAUGUUUCAGUUCCCAGUGAGGAAAUUCGGGGUCCCACUGAGACCUAUUCACAGCACACACGCACUUCAAGCUCCUACCUGCCCACAGUCAUCCAUUCAGACCUCCUCCAGAUUUCACAAGCUGGACAACUCAGGCAUCCCCAGAUGCUGCCUUCAGUAGGCGAAUGCUCUGCACUGUGGGCUCCCAGUAGAAGAGGAGGAACUGAAAACCCUGUGUAUACUUCCUUGUGAUGCCUCCUUGAGGGCUCGCCACUAUAAAACUCCUUUGGGCAGCAGGUCUGUGGACCUUGUAGACACAAGAAAAAGGGACAAUUUUAUUUGACUUACUGAAAAUUUCCAUUCUCUGAGUUAGAAGGCCCACAGGCUCCCCCCCACCCCCCUUCUUUGGAGGCCGACCUGAGCCGUAAGAUAACGAGUUCUGUUUGGUUUGUUCCAAUUGGUUCAGCAAGUUCUGCUCGGCAGUAGGAAUUGGUUAUUGCAACACACAGAAGUUCAGUAACGUGUGACUAAGUCAGGCCGGGAGGCUGCAGGAGGGUCUUGGGAGGCCGAGGUGUGAGCCCUACAAUGUUAAAGGCCCUUUUUCCUCCAAGCUGAGAAGGGGUUACCUCAGGUCAGUCAGGGGCACCCGAUUCCAAGUACGGGCUGCCUGAGGCCUUUAAAAACCCUCCUCUGGGCACAGAAGGUGGGAGGAGAGAGACCAGCUGCUCCACGCUAGGGGAAUGAGCUGCUCCGGGGCAGGAGUCCGUGCUCCUUCCUGUAGGGGAAACGCAAACCUGAGUGCCGGCCGGGCUAGGACUGACACCCGGGAACCAACAGGAUGACACCCUGCCCCAGCGAGCAGGCAGUGAAAGGUACCCUUCAUCCUGGGGUUUUGUUUGAGACGUUUUUUUUUUUUUGUUUGGUCGCGGAUCAUCCCUGAGGCCUGCCCUGAAAAUACGACAAGGGAGCGCACAAGGCAAAACUCUGCCUGGAGUGGGGCUGUUUACCCCAGGCCCGCCAUGGCCGGUGGGGGGGUGGGGGGUAAGUCUGGCGAGAUGACGGAGGUGCCUUGCGUCACAAGCUUCAGGCCACGGGGCUGUUGUCCUUUGCUACAGAUGCCGUCUCGAGUGGUGGCUCGUCAGUGUCGCUGGCGACGACUUCCCCCAUCAGUGACUGACCGGCCUGGUUCUGCUUCCUUAGCUGUGGCCAGACUGAGAGGACCUGCUGUGUGUGUCAGACUCCGUUUUUCUGGACUCCCUCUGUGCUCACCUCUGACUGGGUGUCUGGUUUCCAUGACACUUUGCAUAUAGGUAAAUCUUGGUCUAAGCCAGGGCAUAGACUUCAACCUACGCAGCCUUUUGGCUCCUCUUUUCUUGCUUCUCCAUGUUUCUACUGAUGGAAACCACCUGUGACUAAACUGCCCCCCACAGACAGCCCCGGCUCACAGACCUUCAUGAACUUUUACCUAAGGUUGCUCAAGUGCUCAUCCCGCCCGGCAAGCGGCAGGGAAUUGAGGUGACGAGGUUAGCGGAGGGGCACAUCACCAGCAGCCCCAGCUCCCCAGGUCACACACCCCUAGCAGCGAGCCUGGGAGUCCUGCUCACGCACGUCCCCCAAGCUCCCUCCUCGGCCCGAGGAAGACAGCCUCGGGUAGCCAUGCCUGUGAGGUCACCAGCCACGAGGGAUUAUUUAUCCCAGAAAACGCACAAUUAAUUGGCGGUUUUACCGACUCCAAGUUUUUUGCCGCCCCAAGCACAUGCUUGGGACGCUGGUGUAGAGCCGGCCCUGUUACUGACCAGCUGGGCAAACCCCCGUCAGGGAUGGUCUAGGGGUACUUGGUCCUGCGUCAGCAGGGGGCUGGGCUAGCCCCACAUUUCCAUGAUUCUGUGACGGGGUGGGGACAGCCCUGGCUCCCCACGCGCAAGGGGAGCCCUUCAAGUGUCCCAGCUGGAGCCCCGGGGUGACGGACUGCCCGGCUCAGCCAGGCCCGGCUCCCCUUUGUGGUUGUGGGAGCCCUGCCUGACAACUGAGGAGCUCCAGCAGUGAGGGAGAGCAGCUGCGAACCUGACCAGACCGGCUGGGGACCUGGCCCUGCCUGGCAGCCAGGGGAAGGUGAGUGUGAGGGGCUGCGGGAGCAGCUUGUCUGGACGCUGCCCAACCGGCCCAACAGCUGCAGUCUCUGGUUGGGCCAGGCCAGGGAGCAAUUCUCUGGGUGCUUCUGCUCCCUCCUGCUGUCUCCCUGGCCCUGCUGCCCCCUCCACCUCUGCCGAGGCAGGGAGGCUGUGUCAGAAAUGUGGGGAGCAGCUGCUCCAGCCCGACCUGUCUCUGACCCGCCCAGCCUCGCCUGCUGCAGAAGGAGGGGCAGGAAACCUGUAAUGGGCCAUUCUGGAAUCUGGUGCCUGGGGAGCCCCUUGGUCACCCCCCUCAGAUAGCCCUCGGCUUGUGGCCCAGCCAAGACGACAAGAUCUAUCACGUCCAAGCUUUCUGUACUUUAAAACCACGCUAAUGCACUUCUGCCAUUCUCAUUAGCCAUGCAAAUGGCCAACGCCGCUGAGCUCUUGGGCUCCUUGGGAGCUUGUGGCAGUGAGUUGCACAAGUUAAUUGUGUAUUAUGUGGAAAACUAGUGUGUGCCCCUUUAAGAGGUCUCAGUUUGUUCCUUCUCCAUGUCAUGGGCUGUCCCUUGGAUUGUGCAUUAUGCUAGAGGGUAAAGAGCUCCCACUCUGUUUUAUGGCCCUGCAGCACGGCCCCUCAUUUGUCAGCCUCACAGAGCAUGUGAGGAUACAUUUAAAAACUGGGUUUUAACUGUUUGCUCUAAAAGUAAUAUCAGCGCUUUUAAUCAAGACUCAGUUUCCCGAAGUGGUAAUUGUGAGAAAUCAGGUGUGACUGCAACAAUUAUAUGGACCUAAGGCACUUAGCGGGCCCCUCUGAGCACCUCCCAACCUUUACUGCCAGGCAGCCAGCUGUAGUCUCCAUUGAAGCCCAGAGAAGCUAAGGGACUUGCCCAAGGUCACACAGAGUCUGUUGCAGAGCAAGGUCUCCCAAGUCUUCGUCUAGCGCCUGACCUGCUGACACGUCCAUCUUUCGCCCUCCCUUAAGUGAACAGCAAAUUGCUCUGGUCACUCUGGGGUGACUCCUGCUGCCUUCGUGAUGCAGUGUCUGCUUCGGGUUUGGGGAGUGAGGGCGGGCUCUCUUGUGGCUUAAUUCUUGCUCCUUUGGAAAGAAAAGUGAGAGCUGGUCUAAUGCCAAACAUGUCCCACGUCCCAGGAGAACAGCUGUCCACCAUCGCCGGGGGGCCAGAGAACCAUGUAAAGGGUUAUGGUACUUGUGGUGUGAUCUUCACCCCACCCCAGCCUAGAAGGGGUUAAUGAGGCUGGAAAGGGGCCAAUUAGCUGGAUAGGCCACAGCUGAGAGGAAUUAGGUGGCCUAAGUCAUCCCGGAAUGAUGCUGGAGCCCAGCUGAGAAGAUACAGGCGGGGCUGGGCUGGAGCCAGGAAGCUGGCAGCAGAAAGGGGCUGCAGUGUGGAUGCCUGUGGUCACUCUUAGCCUUCGAGAGGGAAGGAGGAAAGCGGGGGGGAGAGGAGCAGCAUCGGGGCCUGGUCCCGAGGGAAGGGCAAGUCCAGAGGAGAUGGAGAAAGAGCCUGACGGAGGUAAAGCAGGAGCAGCUCAGGGAAACUGUAGCAAGGUUUGGGACUGUGCAGACCUUGGCUGCUGGUUGUGGGGGCUGUGGGCUGGACCCUAGAGCAAUGGGUGGGCCCACGUUCCCGAGCAGCCACCGGGGAAGUGGCAGACCAGGCAGUGGAGCAGAAGGCUGCCCAGGGCAGUUGUGCAGAAGGAAAACACUGUGACCUGGCCCUCAGGCCAAGCCCCAGAGACAGAGCCCCCAGAGCCACGGAGAGAGGCGGUAGGGCCCACCCCGCCUGGCAGAGGAGGGGGUUGGACCUGGGAGGACUUAAUCCCCAGAGCAGCCAGGAGGUGGUGAGUGGACCUUGUGACACAAGUGGCGUAACCUGGUCCAAGAGCUCCCGGAGGUCGAGCUCCCCUGUGAACUGUAGGGGACAGCUGCCCUACGUGUGCCUCGUCUGACUCCCUAUGGGGGUCACUGGGGUGGUCCCCGCUGCCCCGUGUUGCUGCGCUCUCUGUAACUUGGCUUUUCUCCCAGGUGCACUAGCUCAGACCCACGCCGGCAGCUCUGGCCCUCCUCUGUCUCACGGAGGUGGGUGCUCGCAGCCUUCAUGCAGGAAUCGCCAGCGCCCUGCGAGCCAGGACAGUGGUGCAGCCGCCCGGUGAAGGCCUAGAGGGAGCCAGGACCCAGCCGAGCUUGGAGCUGGCUUUGGCCCCUGCGGGGCCUCGGGCUGCAGGAGCCGGGUGAGGCCCGCGGGGAGAGGAAGCAUGCAGGGAAGGUCUGUGGUUUGCCGUGAUGACUUGCCUAGGUCUGAUGGGUUGGGCUGGGUUUGAAGCCUGCCCUGGCCUAUGGGAACAGGGCCGAUGCAUACUGAAGCGUGCAGCGGUUGGAGCCCCGCUCUCCUGCUCUGAGGCAGCUGCAUUGGAAUGCAAAUCUUUACAAGAAUUUCUGCUGACGAGGCCUGUAGGAGGAGCUGCUGUCCGUUCCCAGGGCCUCUCCCUGUAGGGCAUGGACCACGUGCGUUGCUUCCACCUGGCUGGCUGGCUGGCUGCCCCGCCUCAUACACCAGCUCCGCUGGGGGCGCCCGCUGGGCCACCUGCUCUCUCCAUACACCUCUGCACAGAGCCCAGCCCUGCCCCCAAGGGAUCCC